GCCUUCGUGGUGUAGUGGUCAGCACGCUCGACGCAUAAACGAGAGGUCCGUGGUUCGAUUCGCGGCGAAUUCG
rfam:Stegodyphus mimosarum contig107417, whole genome shotgun sequence.